rnacentral:lncRNA from 1 species
AGCGGUGGAGAACCAGUGUCCUGCGCAUGCGCCCCGCAGGUCGGGUGCGGGAGAAACCUGGCAGCCACUUUGACGCGAGCGGGCGGCCUCGGCCACAGAGCCCUUGACAAGGGCGCCGGACAAGCCCAGGCUAUCCUGCUCAUCGUACCUUCCGUUGCAUUGCCAGGCCUGCCGCUCGGCCCCAAGGCUGGGCCAGUGAAGUGAGUCCUCCCACACGGCCCGACUCAGCGCAGCAGCUCGUCCUAGUGUCCUCCCCGCCCCGCUACCGAAAGUGCAGCUGCCGCCCAAGGAGAGCAACCUCUUCAAACGUAUCCUGGUGGGUGGCAGGCGGGCCGGCCCUCGCGCUUGCCAGGAACUUCCCGGGGCCGUCUGCGGCGCCCCGAUCCUCGCCAGUCCCCCUCGGGCGACGUUCGUCCCUGCUUUGCACCCCAGUACCUGUGGAAGCCCAGCCUUCAGCCGUCAGAAAUGUUAUGAACAGAAGCAAUACAAAAAUGGCCUCAAGUUUUGCAAGAUGAUUCCUUCAAACCCCAAAUUUGCUGAACAUGGAGGAGAAAUACUGUUGAAAUUGGGAAGAUUAAAAGAACUCAGUGAAGUAUUCAAAAACUGAUAGGAAAGCAGAAAAUUGGUAUUAUUAUGAAGGCUUGGAAAAAUCUCUGCAACUUAGUAUGUAAUGAUUUUUCUCAAUAUCUUAACUGGUGUUUGAAGUA